GACAGAGGGUGCAAACGUUGUUCGGAAUUACUGGGCGUAAAGCGCGUGUAGGCGGUCUCUUAAGUCUGAUGUGAAAGCCCUGGGCUCAACCCAGGAAGUGCAUUGGAUACUGGGAGACUUGAAUACGGGAGAGGGUAGUGGAAUUCCUAGUGUAGGAGUGAAAUCCGUAGAUAUUAGGAGGAACACCGGUGGCGAAGGCGGCUACCUGGACCGAUAUUGACGCUGAGACGCGAAAGCGUGGGGAGCAAACAGG
rnacentral:rRNA from 1 species